GAAAAGACCUGCGUCUAACGUGCGUCCAAGAGGCUCUACACCUGGCGGGACGAGCACAGGCCUCGGCAGCAGACGGUACCCUGACUAGGAAGCAACAUUACUGCAAGUGGAAUGAUCCUUGUGGUGUUAGGAUGCUGUGGAAGUGAUUCUUCGAAAGCUUUAUGGUGGACAGAUUCUGCAGGUUCUGUAUGGCGACGAGAGGCGAGAUGCAAGGCAAGGAGAUGACUGCAAACCAGAAGAUGACCUUGAGGGUCAUUCUAACAGAGGCGGAUAUAAGAAAAGUCAUCCUAACCACAAGGCCCUCUACAGUUGAAGAUUUGAUAAGCAAGCUUAAAGAAUCACUGGGACUUCAUUAUAACUUUAGUCUCCAAUACCAAGACCCUGAAUUCAAUAAUGAACUAUGCAAUCUGACAGCUACUGAAGAACUUCCAGAAAAACCAACAAUUAAAGUCAUGCCUGUCCUUGAGCUGGUACCUGUCUCAUCUGAUGAAGUCUUCAGUGACACACCCAGUACAGCAGAUACAGACAUACUCUCACACUCAUCUCAGGAGCGACAUAAACAGUGGCCAGAAUUUUUUGAUAUCCCUACCAUGUCUGUGGAUGUAGAGUAUAGACUUAGGCAAGCAGAUCUGCUGUUUAUGAGUGAGGGUACAUACCUUUAAAGUAUCAAAAGAACUAAAACACGAGAUACUUGAAAGAUUGGCAGAGAGCAUGUAUAGCUACACAGCAUACCCAACUGCUGCUCAGUUCGAAAGUGUUGCAGCAGCACUGAUAAACAAGCACCCUUGUCUCCAGGAGCGAGGCUCAACCACUCGCUGUUGUGGUUGGAAAAAUAGCCUUAAGCAUAAAAUGGGUAAU